UCACAUACUUUUUCUUGCAACUGUGUAUAUAUAUAUAUAUAUAUAUAUAUAUAUAUACAUAUAUAUAUAUAUAUAUAUAUAUAUAUAUAUUUUAAUUGGGGUAGUCCCCAAAAUAUUGGGACAUAUAAAAAAAAGACAACUCUGUUCUGUUGACAUUAUAGUUGCGCAGGAACUUUGUUGACUCUAGAGAACCUCGGGCAAAUCGCACAUCCCCAUGGUGGCGACUUUGCAUGCGGACGUCAUCCAUAUCAACUUUCGAUGCCAGUUUCUGCGCCUACCAGUGACCACGGGUAACGGGGAAUCAGGUUUCCAUUCUGUACAGGGACCCUGAGAAAUGGCUACCACAUGCAAGUAAGGCAGCAGGCGCGCAAAUGACCCACUCCCUAAGCGGGAAGGUAGUGAUGA